rnacentral:rRNA from 1 species
ACGGAAGGCAGCAGUGGGGAAUAUUGCACAAUGGGCGAAAGCCUGAUGCAGCGACGCCGCGUGAGCGAAGAAGUAUUUCGGUAUGUAAAGCUCUAUCAGCAGGGAAGAAAAAUGACGGUACCUGACUAAGAAGCACCGGCUAAAUACGUGCCAGCAGCCGCGGUAAUACGGAUGGUGCAAGCGUUAUCCGGAUUUACUGGGUGUAAAGGGAGCGCAGGCGGUACGGCAAGUCUGAUGUGAAAGCCCGGGGCUCAACCCCGGUACUGCAUUGGAAACUGUCGAACUAGAGUGUCGGAGGGGUAAGUGGAAUUCCUAGUGUAGCGGUGAAAUGCGUAGAUAUUAGGAGGAACACCAGUGGCGAAGGCGGCUUACUGGACGAUCACUGACGCUGAGGCUCGAAAGCGUGGGGAGCAAACAGGAUUAGAUACCCUGGUA